UCUUAAGCAUGCAAGUCGAACGGGCAAGGAUUGGUGCUUGCACCGAUCCUAGAGUGGCGGACUGGUGAGUAACGCGUGGGUGACGUACCCUAAGGAUGGGGAUAGCUGGUAGAAAUAUCAGAUAAUACCGAAUAUCCUUAUUGUUGUUAGAGGACAGUAAGGAAAGGAGCUUUGGCUUCACUGAAGGAACGGCCCGCGCACUAUUAGCUAGUUGGUGAGGUAACGGCCCACCAAGGCAACGAUAGUUAUCCGGCCUAAGAGGGUGAACGGACACAUUGGGACUGAGAUACGGCCCAGACUCCUACGGGAGGCAGCAGCUAAGAAUAUUCCGCAAUGGAGGAAACUCUGACGGAGCGACGCCGCGUGGAUGAUGAAGGUCGGAAGAUUGUAAAAUCCUUUUAAGUAUGAUGAAUAACCUGAUCAGGAAAUGGGACAGGGAUGACCGUAAUACUUGAAUAAGCAACGGCUAAUUACGUG
rnacentral:rRNA from 1 species